GAAAAGAUUCUCCAAUAAGUAAAUUAUUAAUCUUUCAAACCUUUGGAUAUGGCAAACAUUUUUUUAACGAAGAAUAGGUAUACUAGAAACCUAGAACCCUAUCUCGAGCUCUCUCUCUCUCAUUCUCUAGGGCAGAGAAGCUCCUCUGGAACUUCAGAAUGGAGUGUCCUGUACCCUCAAGUCUCCCAGCAAAGCAGUGAACAAAAAAAGAGAAGACAGAGAUGAAGAGAAAGAAAGACAAUGGUUUACUUCACCACCACUUAAACCAGAGAAAGCGUCCUCAGUUAAGGAGAGCUCAGCCUCUGGACAGCAGGUCAGGGGAUCUAAGUGAGGUGGUUGCCCAACGAGAAGUAAGACAGUGAGACUUGAAAUAGACCCAAAAGUUGAAGGAUCACUUGGGUUCACACCUAAACCCACGAUCCAAUCCAACUUUUACCAAAGCUCUGCCUUGAGACCCAGGGUGGCUGGGUUUGAACCUGCCACCUCUGGCAUAUGGGACUGGCGCCCUACUCCUUGAGCCACAGGCACCGCCCGAGGGUGAACUGAUUUUAAAGAUAUGGGGAAACUAUCAUUUACUAAGGAUCUACUAUGUGCUAAUCCUGCUAGUGAUUAUGUCCAUCAGUUUUCACAACUCUACAUGAAGCAUGAUCAUUCAUGCUGUCAAGGUAAGAAACUAAGGCACAAAGAAUAUGGAACGUUCCCAAGGUCAUACAGCUGGUAAGAGACCAAGUGGAUAUGCGAUCCUAAAUGCACCUAGGACUAAGCACCUUCUUCUCACCUACACAACCCUGAGUUCUUAAGACCUGGAAAUCAAACAGAUAAGAAGCGGAGGAUGUCAAGAAAUACUGAAGGUUGCUGAAUCUUGGCGAUGAACUUUUUAAUAAGUCAACCAACAAUUUCUAAAGGACCUGGUUGAAAUACUGUUCAAUAUGACACAGUCUUUUAUGUGAAGGGAUUCGCAGGUGGCCAGAUAAUUACAAAUAAGGUGACUUAAGCCUGAACAAAACAACAAAGAGGUCAUGAGAAAAAGCAAGUUCAUGUACAUAAGAAAUCACUCUUGAAACUAUAGGACUGUAACAAUUAGAUGUUUUCAAAUAAUACUGAAAUUAAGGAUAACGAUGUCAGUCUCCAGAGUGUUCUUCCAUACUAUUAAAAAGAACUCUCAACAAAUUAGUAAUCAUUAACUUAAUUAUAAGAUAUUAUAUAUUCAUUUCAUUCAUCACCAAUACACUGCAGGAAGUACUUCCCUGAGCGUCUCUAAUGCAACCUCCUAUGCCAGUUAAAAGAAAUCCUGUACAUGCCCAUUUCCCUCCUGCAUGAACAAAAACACUUCUCUAUAUCCUGGAAAAGUUUAAUUUGCUAGAAUGGCAUUAAUAGAAAUCAUCAAACUCUAAAAACUCAAAACCUUCAGCAUUUUCAGUCCAAAACACAAAAGAUAAGGAAAUAAUUAAUUCAAAAGUCAUCUCAGGAGAAAUCAAGAUAUACGCAAACUACCCACAGAUCAAAAACUAAAACAGAUUUAGUUCAACUUCAAGUCGCUAAUACACAUGCACACGCAUACUCAGAAAGUGGGCUGAUUGCUGAACUGUUAAUUUUCUUUUUCCCUUUUUUGAGGUGCAUUAUUUAUAAUAUAGCUCACAUAGGGUGCAAAGUUACUAGCCUAUUUUAUAAAAUAAGAAACAAGGCCAGUAUGAUCAAGUUAUUUGACUUAAACAACCUGUGAUUUUAGAAUUGACAAGCAAAUAUUAAAAGUACAAGCAACUGUCAUCCAGCUCGUAUCUCCAAAAGCAGAACUAGAGGAAAAUAAGGCAAAUCCCCUCUAAGAGGGACAAGUCAUUUACCCACAGCCCUCAUAAGCCCUCAGCACCUAGCACACACCCUGACACCCAGUGGGGCCUUGAUGACUAUUUUUUGAAUGAAUAAAUGACAAAUAAAGAAAUGUUAAUGAAAGAUGAGUCUGGUGAAAUCAGUGGUAUAUUCCAUUUCCCUAGAAGGAAUUUAAUUUUAAAUGGGGCUAUAAAGCAUUCAAUGUGUUUUUCUUUUUUUAAGUACCGCAGGGAAAAGGGUGGUCCAUAGAACACUGUGACCUCCAUCUAAUACUACACGAGAAAAAACUGAGAACUACUUUUAAGCUGAACUCAAAACUUCUGUCAGUGCUAAUAAGUUCAAUGCACUACCAUAAAACACACAUACACCACAGAAGAUAAACUGAUGUUAUAAUAGCUUUAAAAAAACUCAACUGCCUGAGGAAAAUAGAUAAGUAUUUUUAAAAAUGUAACAUGAAAAAAGCCAACAAUCCCAUAUAUCAAUGGGCAAGAGAUAUGAAUAGAACCUUCUCUAAAGAAGACAGAUGAAUGGGUAACAAACACAUGAAAAAAUGUUCAUCAUCCCUAUCUAUUAGAGAAAUGCAAAUCAAAACCAUCCUGAGAUACCAUCUAACCCCAGCGAGAAUGGCCCACAUCACAAAAUCUCAAAACUGCAGAUGCUGGCGUGGAUGUGGAGAGAAGGGAACACUUUUACACUGCUGGUGGGACUGCAAACUAGUACAACCUUUCUGGAAGGAAGUAUGGAGAAACCCCAAAGCA